CGUGGGGGAUAACGUAGCGAAAGUUACGCUAAUACCGCAUACGAUCUAAGGAUGAAAGCGGGGGAUCGCAAGACCUCGCGCGAUUGGAGCGGCCGAUAUCAGAUUAGGUAGGUUGGUGGGGUAAAGGCUCACCAAGCCAACGAUCUGUAGCUGGUCUGAGAGGACGACCAGCCACACUGGAACUGAGACACGGUCCAGACUCCUACGGGAGGCAGCAUGGGGAAUUUUGGACAAUGGACGCAAGUCUGAUCCAGCCAUUCCGCGUGCAGGAUGAAGGCCCUCGGGUUGUAAACUGCUUUUGUACGGAACGAAAAGGUUUCCAUUAAUACUGGGAGCUCAUGACGGUACCGUAAGAAUAAGCACCGGCUAACUACGUG
rnacentral:rRNA from 1 species